rnacentral:rRNA from 1 species
GUGCCAGCAGCCGCGGUAAUACAGAGGGUGCGAGCGUUGUCCGGAAUCACUGGGCGUAAAGGGCGCGUAGGUGGCUCUAUAAGUCGGGGGUGAAAUGCUGCGGCUCAACCGCAGCGCUGCCUCCGAGACUGUAGGGCUCGAGCACGGUAGAGGCCGAUGGAAUUCCCGGUGUAGCGGUGGAAUGCGUAGAGAUCGGGAAGAACACCAAUGGCGAAGGCAGUCGGCUGGGCCGUUGCUGACACUGAGGCGCGACAGCGUGGGGAGCAAACAGGAUUAGAUACCCUGGUAGUCC